ensembl:lncRNA
AUGGCAAGCCGAGGGGGAGGCGAGGAGGGCGACGCUGAAGCCUCAGCUACAGUCACAUCCCCCCCGGUUGAUUGUUCCCCGUCAUCCAGUGUGGAGGUUCCACUUACUGUACCCUCACAAAUACCAAAUCCUCAAGAGGAAUUUGAAAGAAAUAUGGAGAGGCUCUCCAGUAUAUUGGCAUCAUGUCCUUCUGCUGAGCCUCAAAGAAGCUCUGCAUCAUCAUGGUCUUUUCGGCAGCAGAAAGCCUCAGAGCGCUGGAAAGAGGCAAGACCAUACCACCUACAAUGCCUUGUUGCAAAAGAGGCUGUUGGUCAUCCCUCGAGUUGCCUUUGCCACGAGCCUGCCGUUAUUAGGUGCAGAGAGAGUGUCUUCCCGAGGAGUGGUUCUGUGGGGACUGUGAUGUACUGAAUCACAAAAAACAGCCCCUCCACAACAGGGAAUGUGUGAUUCAUGGGUUUUUUGAAGCCAUUCCUCCAACUUUGUGCAUCAUUAAAAGGGAAGGUGGAUAUUGCAUUCAUGAGCAAGGUACGUUCUCACGGAAGUCCUAAUUUUGCUGUUUACAUGUGUCUGCAGCCAGUUACAGAUGAUCUAAAUUAGAUGUUUUCUUUCUUUUUGCCAGCUUGCAUUUUGCCAACUGUGAAGGUGCCAGACUGCUCCUGUGAAGGGACAAACUUCACUGUGUUACCUGGCAAACCAGUGAUUUUAAUCACCAUCAAUGGGCGUUUUGACUUGAAUCAGCCACUAUAUAAGUGUCAAACAUGCCAGCAGAGCUGGACUCCUGAUUCGAAGGACCUCCUUAGGAGUGGAUAUUGGCCAGCCUAUGUCAGCAAUUCAGUGCUGUAUACACUGGACCUCCUGAACUCCUUUCAGGAACUCAAGGUCAUCGCUCCAGGAUUCUCCAGACAAGCCUUCGCAAAGCUUUGGAGCAUCGCACUGGAGGAAGAGUAUGUGUUAUUGUUAUUACUGUCUUAUAACAUGUUUUUCCAUAAGCAGACAACAUCACAUAUACUGUUUAUUUCUAUGUAG